UUUAAUCUAGUUGAAAUGUCAACACCAGAUUGUCUGCCUGGAGAAAAAAUAUUAUUA
rnacentral:tRNA from 1 species